UACGGAGGGUGCAAGCGUUAUCCGGAUUCACUGGGUUUAAAGGGUGCGUAGGUGGGCAAGUAAGUCAGUGGUGAAAUCUCCGGGCUUAACCCGGAAACUGCCAUUGAUACUAUUUGUCUUGAAUAUUGUGGAGGUGAGCGGAAUAUGUCAUGUAGCGGUGAAAUGCUUAGAUAUGACAUAGAACACCAAUUGCGAAGGCAGCUCGCUACACAUAUAUUGACUCUGAGGCACGAAAGCGUGGGGAUCAAACAGG
rnacentral:rRNA from 1 species